rnacentral:rRNA from 1 species
UACGUAGGGGGCAAGCGUUGUCCGGAGUUACUGGGCGUAAAGGGCACGCAGGCGGUUCGGCGCGUUUCCGGUGCCAGCCUUUCGCUUAACGAGGGGAGUGCCGGGAAGACGGUCGGACUUGAGAGCCUCAGAGGAACCUAGAAUUCCGGGUGGAGUGGUGAAAUGCGUAGAGAUCCGGAGGAAUACCAAAGGCGCAGGCAGGGUUCUGGGAGGCGACUGACGCUGAGGUGCGAAAGCCAGGGGAGCGAACGGG